UCGGUACGGUAUUUGCCUACCGAGGUUCUUACGGGUGACGGGGAAUCAGGGUUCGAUUCCGGAGAGGGAGCCUGAGAAACGGCUACCACAUCCAAGGAAGCAGCAGGCGCGCAAAUUACCCAUUCCCGACGCGGGGAGGUAGUGACGAAAAAUAACAAUGCAGGACUCGUUCGAGGCCCUGUAAUUGGAAUGAGUACACUUUAAAAGCUUUAACGAGUAUCCAUUGGAGGGCAAGUCUGGUGCCAGCAGCCGCGGUAAUUCCAGCUCCAAAAGUAUAUAUUUAAGUUGUUGCGGUUAAAAAGCUCGUAGUUGGAUUUUGGGCGCAGGCGGCCGGUCCGUCGCAAGGCGUGUACUGGACGUCCUGGCCUUCCCUCCGGUUCUCCGCCGGUGCUCUUGACUGAGUGUCGGCGGCGGCCGGAACGUUUACUUUGAAAAAAUUAGAGUGUUCAAAGCAGGCUCUCGAGCCUGGAUAAUGGUGCAUGGAAUAAUGGAAUAGGACCUCGGUUCUAUUUUGUUGGUUUUCGGAGCGCGAGGUAAUGAUUAAGAGGGACAGACGGGGGCAUUCGUACUGUGCCGUUAGAGGUGAAAUUCUUGGAUCGGCGCAAGACGAACGAGUGCGAGAAUCCACCACAUUGAGCUCAGC
rnacentral:ncRNA from 1 species